AGCGAACGCUGGCGGCAGGCUUAACACAUGCAAGUCGAGCGGGCAUCCUUGUGGUGUCAGCGGCAGACGGGUGAGUAACGCGUGGGAACGUGCCCUUCGGUUCGGAAUAACUCAGGGAAACUUGAGCUAAUACCGGAUACGUGCGAGAGCAGAAAGGUUUAUCUGCCGAAGGAUCGGCCCGCGUCUGAUUAGCUAGUUGGUGAGGUUACGGCUCACCAAGGCGACGAUCAGUAGCUGUUCUGAGAAGAUGAUCAGCCACACUGGGACUGAGACACGGCCCAGACUCCUACGGGAGGCAGCAGUGGGGAAUAUUGGACAAGGGGGGCAACCCUGAUCCAGCCAUGCCGCGUGAGUGAUGACGGCCUUAGGGUUGUAAAGCUCUUUUCUCCGGGACGAUAAUGACGGUACCGGAGGAAUAAGCCCCGGCUAACUUCGUG
rnacentral:rRNA from 1 species